GAUUUAGUGGCGGACGGGUGAGUAACACGUUGGUACCUACCCUCUAGUGGGGAAUAACUUCGAGAAAUCGAGGCUAAUACCGCAUAAUAUCUACGGAUUAAAGCAUUUAUGCGCUAGAGGAGGGGCCUGCGUCUGAUUAGCUUGUUGGUGAGGUAAAAGCUCACCAAGGCGACGAUCAGUAGCUGGAUCGAGAGGUUGACCAGCCACACUGGGACUGAGAUACGGCCCAGACUCCUACGGGAGGCAGCAGUAAGGAAUCUUCCACAAUGGGCGAAAGCCUGAUGGAGCAAUGCCGCGUGCAGGAUGACGGCCUUCGGGUUGUAAACUGCUUUUAUAUGGGAAGAUUAUGACGGUACCAUAUGAAUAAGGACCGGCUAACUACGUGCCAGCAGCCGCGGUAAUACGUAGGGUCCAAGCGUUAUCCGGAAUCACUGGGCGUAAAGCGUUUGUAGGCGGAAGUUUAAGUGAGAUGCGAAAUCUUGUGGCUCAACCACAUAGACGGUAUCUCAUACUGGGCUUCUAGAAUAUAGCAGAGGUAAGUGGAAUUAGUAGUGUAGCGGUAAAAUGCGUAGAUAUUACUAGGAACACCAAUGGCGAAGGCAGCUUACUGGGCUAUUAUUGACGCUGAGAAACGAAAGCGUGGGGAGCGAACAGGAUUAGAUACCCUGGUAGUCCACGCCGUAAACGAUGUGUGCUAUUAGUUCGAGGUAUCGACCCCUUGGGCUGAACAGCUAACGC
rnacentral:rRNA from 1 species